rnacentral:rRNA from 1 species
CAGUAGCCGCGGUAAUACGAAGGGUGCAAGCGUUAAUCGGAAUUACUGGGCGUAAAGCGUGCGUAGGCGGUGAGUUAAGUCUGCUGUGAAAUCCCCGGGCUCAACCUGGGAAUGGCAGUGGAUACUGGCUCGCUAGAGUGUGUCAGAGGAUGGUGGAAUUCCCGGUGUAGCGGUGAAAUGCGUAGAGAUCGGGAGGAACAUCAGUGGCGAAGGCGGCCAUCUGGGACAACACUGACGCUGAGGCACGAAAGCGUGGGGAGCAGACAGGAUUAGAUACCCGUGUAGUCCCUGUCUCUUAUAC